rnacentral:lncRNA from 1 species
GCGAUCGAGUCCCGCAAGGCGCUCCUCUGCGUCCUCGCGCAGGACUGCGACCAGGCGGACUACACCAAGCUCAUCCAGGCGCUGUGCAACGAGGUCAACGUGCACCUCAUCCGCGUCCCGCAGGCGGUGCAGCUCGGCGAGUGGGCCGGUCUGUGCAAGCUGGACGCCGAGGGCACCGCGCGCAAGGUUGUCAAGUGCUCGUGCGUCGUCGUGUCCGACUACGGCGAGGAGACCGAGGGGCUCGCGAUGCUCCAGGAGUUCCUCAAGAACGCGUCCGCGUAAACGAACGCGGCGACGACCGCGCACCGUUCCGUCUUCGAGGCUGGUUUGGUAUUACGAUGAAGCGCGGUAGCUCGUUGUAACAAGGCAACCCUAUCGCGCGACUGAAGACGCAGUAGUGUACACGCGCGCUCUUUCCCCGCUCGCGGCGCUCUACCGCGGCGCCGAGCCGAGGACUACCCGAACAUCGGAAGCGCGCUCUCGCCCCUCCCGUCCCUCCCCCCUCGCUCGCUCCCGACCGCCUUGCGGAGGUUAAUCGUCGCGCCCUUGUACAUCGCCGCCCCGCGGUCGAACGCGGUCGCGUCCUCCCCGCCGCCGCCGCCGCCCCCGCCCCGCCUCGCGUUCUUCUUAUCCCUCACGAGCUCCCACGUCGCGACGAUCCGCGCGGCGUGCUCCGCGCCGAACGCGUCGCGGCGCUCGUGGAAGAGAUCCGCCGCGACGUCGAUCGCGGUCUGCGCCCACGCGAACUUGUACUGUUUCGCCGCCGCGUCCAACGCGUCCAGAAGCGCGACUCUGCUCGCCUCCUCGACGUCCCACGCCUCCGCCGCGGCGGCGCGCUCCGCGAGCCUCAUCCGCGCGGCGUGCGCCCUCGCCUCCGCGGCGUCUUCCGCGUCCGCGUCCGCGCCGCCGCCGACGUCCCUCUCCUUCUCCCUCUCGUCGUCUUCCUUCUCGUCGUCCUCGUCGUCCUCGUCCUCGUUCGCGACGGACGGCCGCGGAGACCAGGNNN